rnacentral:rRNA from 1 species
AUUGAACGCUGGCGGCAGGCCUAACACAUGCAAGUCGAGCGGUAACAGGGAGCUGGUUGCUUGUUUCAUCGGGGGACGGGGGAGGAAGGCCAAUGACUCGGCCUGUGCGUGAUGGAGAGGGUCAACUAACGGGAGCGAAUACUACAUCCGCCUUACGUCAGAAAGCGAAAGAGCGUGGGACUCCGGGCUCUCACCUUCGCCUAUGUCGGAUUAGCUAGUAGGUGGGGUAAGGGUCUACCAAGGCGACGAUCCGUAACUGGUCUGAGAGGAUGAUCAGUCACACUGGAACUGAGACACGGUCCAGACUCCUACGGGAGGCAGCAGUGGGGAAUAUUGGACAAUGGGCGCAAGCCUGAUGCAGCCAUGCCGCGUGUGUGAAGAAGGUCUUCGGAUUGUAAAGCACUUUAAGCUGGGAGGAAGGGAAGUAAGUUAAUACCUUGCUGUAUUGACGUUACCCACAGAAUAAGCACCGGCUAACUUCGUG